rnacentral:rRNA from 1 species
AAGGGUAUUGAAUCAGACGUGGUGCUGUUGUUCAACUUUGUUUCGGCAUGGUGUACUCAGCAGUACUAGGCCAAGGUGGGGUGUUUGGGAGUGAAAAAGGAAUAGGAACGUAGCUCUUCGGAGUGUUAUAACCUAUUUUCAUAGCUCCUCAGGCGCCUCAGGACUGCGCUUCGGCAAGGACUUUGGCAUAAUGAUUCUAUACCG